UACGUAGGGGGCGAGCGUUGUCCGGAAUCAUUGGGCGUAAAGCGCGUGUAGGCGGCCCGGUAAGUCCGCUGUGAAAGUCCAGGGCUCAACCCUGGAAUGCCGGUGGAUACUGUCGGGCUCGAGUCCGGAAGAGGCGAGUGGAAUUCCUGGUGUAGCGGUGAAAUGCGCAGAUAUCAGGAGGAACACCGAUGGCGAAGGCAGCUCGCUGGGACGUGACUGACGCUGAGACGCGAAAGCGUGGGGAGCAAACAGG
rnacentral:rRNA from 1 species